UACGUAGGGCGCAAGCGUUAUCCGGAAUUAUUGGGCGUAAAGAGCUUGUAGGCGGUUUGUCGCGUCUGCCCGUGAAAAUCCGGGGCUCAACCCCGGACUUGCGGUGGGUACGGGCAGACUAGGAGUGUGGUAGGGGAGACUGGAAUUCCUGGUGUAGCGGUGAAAUGCGCAGAUAUCAGGAGGAACACCGAUGGCGAAGGCAGGUCUCUGGGCCAUUACUGACACUGAGAAGCGAAAGCAUGGGGAGCGAACAGG
rnacentral:rRNA from 1 species